rnacentral:rRNA from 1 species
UACACGCUGUGACUAGCAUAUCAAUAAGCGGAGGAAAAGAAACUAACAAGGAUUCCCCUAGUAACGGCGAGUGAAGCGGGAAGAGCUCAAAUUUGAAAUCUUAAAGGGUUUCCCUUUACGAAUUGUAGUUUAAAGAAGUGUUUUUUGUUGAGGUUUUGGUAAAAGUUCUUUGGAAUAGGACAUCAUAGAGGGUGAGAAUCCCGUAUUUGACCUUUACUUUCAACUUUGUGAUACACUUUCAAAGAGUCGGAUUGUUUGGGAAUGCAGUCCAAAAUGGGUGGUAAAUUUCGUCUAAAGCUAAAUAUUGGCGAGAGACCGAUAGCGAACAAGUACCGUGAGGGAAAGAUGAAAAGAACUUUGAAAAGAGAGUUAAACAGUACGUGAAAUUGUCAAAAGGGAAGCGUUUGACACCAGUGUUGUUUUUCUGAAAAUCAAUUAAAGAACUGUUUAUGCUAAGUUGUUUAGACUUUAUCAGCUAACUGUUUAGUUUUGAGCUUUUCUUUAAUGCACUUUUCAGUUAACAAGUCAACAUCAAUUUCUUUUGCUGUAAAAAAGCUUGAGGAAGGUGGCUUGAGAUUCGUCUUAAGUGUUUAUAGCCUCUUGCCUAUGCAGUCGGAGAGAUUGAGGUCUGCAGCGUAGAUCCUUCGGGGCUAAAUGCAUUUGUGCUAAGUUAUAGCAUUUUAUAGACAACUUGUUGACUAUGAUUUGUCUUGUAGCUUACUCGCUUAUGUUAUUUUACCUACGCUUAGGAUGUUGAAUCUGUGCGAGACUAC